CAGCCUUCAAGCUGCCUGCGCCGCACAUCUUGGACGGAAUGCCAAUAGUCAACUGGACCUGCUGUGACGAUCCUUGGCCUGCAACUCAGCAGUUGGAGAUGGCAUUUGUCUGACUUAGAAGGCCGUUGUGUUUGUGAGAGCAUCUUUCUGGCUCCCGUGAAAUGAACAGCCCUGUCCCACCAGACCCUCCUGCCACGUUCUACCGAUCCACCUGGCUGGGAGCCAGAAACAGUGGGUCCACAGACUGAAACUGUGCAUCAUGAUCAAUCAGUCUCUCUCUCUCUCUCUCUCUCUCUCUCUCUCUCUCUCUCUCUCUCUCUCUCUCUCUCGAUUGAUUUUGUGUAUGAGUGUUCUGCCUGCAUGUACACCUGCAUGCCAGAAGAGGGCAUCACAUCCUUUUAUAGAUGGUUGUGAUUGCUGAGAAUUGAACUCAGGACCUAUGGAAAACCAGCCAGUGCUCUCAACUGCUGAGCCAUCUCUCCAUCCCUGAAUUUCUCCCUUUAAAUUAUUUCUCUCGUCGGG
rnacentral:lncRNA from 1 species